UGAAGAACAUCUGAUGAGCUUCUGAGAAGCCCAAGGAUUUGGAACCAGCAGAAUACAGAAAGAAUUAUGAAAGUUGACGGGGAAUGUAAAGAAGUCUGAGUGCAAAUAUGGGAAAGAGAGAAAGACACACUUUGUUUUAAUGUUUAUGGAGGAAGCUGUAAUUUUCAACUAAGUAAAAGCUAAGUCCAUGCUUAGAUAA